rnacentral:rRNA from 1 species
UACGUAGGGGGCAAGCGUUGUCCGGAAUUAUUGGGCGUAAAGCGCGCGCAGGCGGUUACUUAAGUUUGGUGUUUAAGCCCGGGGCUCAACCCCGGUUCGCACUGAAAACUGGGUGGCUGGAGUGCAGGAGAGGAAAGUGGAAUUCCACGUGUAGCGGUGAAAUGCGUAGAGAUCAGGAAGAACACCGGUGGCGAAAGCGCUCUGCUGGACCUUAACUGACACUGAGGGACGAAAGCUAGGGGAGCAAAUGGG